ACUGGGGACAUGGUAUAUAUGGCAUUAAAUCAGCAUCAAUUUUCUACUUUGGAAAGCAUCCAUCUCUUCUUAGUUUGGGGGAGUCUGCAAUGCUUGCUGGGAUUAUACCUGCCCCAGAACUUCGUUCUCCACUCAGGGAUCCUAGCAGGUCUGGUGCUACUAUAUACGUAUUAAUCCUACGUCUGGGGGAAGAGCUUCCAAGCAAGAGUCUUAAGGAGGAUGGUGGAAGUUGGUUUUCUUGAUAUUGAAACGGCACUUUUGGUUGUGAAACAAGGUCUUCAUCUGCAUGUUUUUGUGUCAGAAUAUGCUGAUGGAUUCUUGCAUCUAUCACCCUUGCCUAAGGAUGGACUGGGAGUAUCCGACAAAUUGAAGCGAGGAACUGACUCAGCUUUUAAGGUUGUGUGGGACUGGGAAAAAGAGAGCGUGACAUGGGAAGCCUGGGAAGAUAUGGAAAGAUGGUCCAUCAAGUUGCAGGCCAUUGGUCACAUAAAACUUCAGAAAAACAUUCUGGUUGUAGUGACAAAAUGGAUUUUUCGUAAUAAAUAAUUGUGAAGUUGAUGGGUGAAAGUGAAACUGCACAAGUAUUGAUCAAAAAACAAAAAGCUGAGAGCUGUGACACACAUAGCUACUUAUCAGUGGUUUUGAGAGGGGGUUUAAGGGUAAACCUUCACCUAGGCUUGUGAAGAUGGACAUGUUUGCAACACUGACCCGAGAUCCAAGCAAGCUUGCUCAGCUCGAUCUGCAUCAUCCUUUAUUUUUGACAACUGGGUAAAGUCGUUAUAAGCCUCCAGAACAAUUAGAAUCGUACAAAUUGAUUUGUGAAUCAAAACUCAAACCAUUGUAUUUGGUUGCCCUUCUAAAAAAUUUAGGAGGAGAGAAGUGCAUUGUUUUUACAUCUUCUAUGGAAUCAACUCAUCAUCUAUGCACCUUACUAAAUUUUUUUGGUGAUCUACAAAUCAAGAUCAAGGAGUAUUCAAGUCUUCAACAUCAAUCUGUAAUAAGGCAAGGAUGAUUUGUUCGUCCAAUUCACUUGGAUGCUUAACAUUAUGUAGAAGCCCUUUGUACUUUGUCGUUUACUCAAUAAUGAAGAAAAGAGUAACAAAGGUGGACCUGCAAAGUCUAAGCCAGCACUGUCUGAUGUUACAGAACUUGUUCAGAGUAACAAUGACAACGACUAUGAUAAAGCAUAUGUUGCAGAAAAUCAAGCAGCAAAAGUUGAUUUAAGUGAGGACAUAGAACUUCUCAUGGGUGCGUUCUAUGUCCCUCCAGAGGACUCUCCAUCCAGUUUACCCCUCACCACUCCUGAUGUUUCAGCUCCGAUCACUGUCAAAACUUCUCAUAAAGAAACCCAAUCUGUACCAACAUUGGCUCCAGCAUCUCAAGAAUUGCCGGAGCAACUGAAUACCGUCCUAUUAAUUGCAUAACAAGAUUUGACAAUGCAGCACCCCUUGCAUGUAACGAUGAUUAUUAUGCAUGUGCUUCGGAAAAUCUAGUGGCAGAAGUAAAUACUACAGAAGUUGACCUCGAUCUGGAUAUGGACGAAGCCUUCGAAAUGUUCUAUAUCCCUCCAACAGGGCCAUUAGAUUGCAACCUUUUCUCCCCAUCAACUUUAACCUCCGUUACUGCUGUUUCAUAUCCUUCCACAGCUGAAGCUUCUCUUGAAGCACAGUCUAUGCCAGCCCCAGCUUCAGUGUUUCCAGAAUUAGGCAGUGAAGCUGACAAUUAUCGCACAAGUUUUCGAUGUCUUCCUGAAGAAAAAUAUGAUGGAAUAACAACUAAGACUAUAGUGCCCAUUGAGUACAAUGGUUAUAACACUUAUGUUGCAAAAAAACAAGUGGCAGAAGUGACAUCUGAUGUGGUGGAGGCAGGCUCAAAUAUGUUCCUGACACACCACAGCCACUAGGUUGCGACAUGUUAUCCCCAUUACACUCGAAUUUAAUUCUUUCCUCACCACAUCAGAUGCCACUUCUGCCACUAUUGGGUCAAACAAAACUCAAAUGGAGUAUGCCCAAUAGUCGGCUCGAUUCAGUCUGUUUUCAAAGAGUUGUGUCCAUUGCCAAACAGUUGCCAUCUCUUGAGUUCACACCCUUUGGUUGUCUAUAUAAAGGGGUCAAAAGCCCAUUUGUGCAUGUGACAUAAUUUUUCACUUACACGUGGUGUUGUAGAGAACAAUACAUAGAGAAAUAUCUCUUUAUUUUGCUCAUCAAUUUCAUCAAAGCAUUUAGAUUGUAAAUGCUGUGUGUUUUGUUCUCAUAAACAAACAUCAUUGUUGAGUCUCAAUAAUACAGAUUAUGAAUA